UAUAGCCUUACUCCCAAUCAGUGACCGUUCCCUUCUGCAAAGAGUUUCUCAGUCACCCAGAGACAUAACCAAAGCAAAAUAGCAAAUCCCAUGUCCCAUGAGGCCAUGAGGCCAUGACCAUAUCUAAGUUGACCCACAAACCCAAGACCAAUAAAAAAUCACUGCUUCCACUCCCAUUUCCACUCCUUCCACCGAAUCCCAUUCCAUGCAACUUGGAAUAACAAGACAAGAACAACAGUACUACUGAGUCACUGACCCAAAACCCCCCCUCUUCUUCUUCAAUCCUUAACAGCUCUCCUUGAAAACUCAGCUUUGCUCCAAUGGCUUCCCUCUCAAUCUCAAUUGGGACCCACUUAUCUUCAACCUGCCAUUUCAAGAACUAUUCACUUCCUCAAACCCAAAACUCAGUUCCUUCCCAUCAUUGCUUUGGCUCAUCUCUGUGUAGAACCAGAGGUCCAAGAUUGCUUGGCAAUGGGGUUCUUGCUAGAGCUGAAGAUAAGGCCAGAGGCUCUACGUCUUCUUCUUCUUCUUCGUCUCAGCCUCGACCAAACUCUAACUCUGAGAACCAGCUAGAGGAGCUGACGCAAAAAUCUGGAUCAUGUGAUCCUUUAUGUUCACUAGAUGAAAUAAGUUCAAGUGAUUUUGAAGCCACUUACCAGCCCAAGACUGAUUUGCUGAAAGCUCUUGCAGUAAUUGCAGCAGCUGCAACAGGGGCAGUGGCAAUUAACCAAUCAUGGGUUGCUGCAAAUCAGGAUGUUGCGAUGGCAUUGCUAUUUGGAAUAGGAUAUGCAGGCAUCAUUUUUGAAGAAUCUUUAGCUUUCAAUAAAAGUGGAGUAGGAUUACUGAUGGCCGUGAGCUUAUGGGCAGUGCGUAGCAUUGGGGCUCCUUCAACUGAUAUAGCUGUUUCAGAGCUAACGAAUGCAUCUGCAGAAGUCAGUGAAAUAGUAUUUUUCUUGUUUGGUGCAAUGACCAUUGUGGAGAUAAUUGAUGCUCAUCAAGGUUUUAAGCUGGUUACCGACAAUAUAACCACCCGAAAGCCGCGGACUCUCCUCUGGGUGAUUGGUUUGGUGACUUUUUUCCUUAGUUCAGUCCUUGAUAACCUGACGUCUACCAUUGUCAUGGUUUCUUUAUUGAGGAAACUAGUACCUCCAUCAGAAUUUCGCAAGCUUCUGGGAGCUGUUGUUGUGAUAGCAGCAAAUGCAGGUGGUGCAUGGACUCCCAUAGGUGAUGUUACCACUACUAUGCUGUGGAUACAUGGUCAGAUAUCAACUUUGCAGACAAUGAAGGGCUUAUUUGUACCUUCAGCUGUUUCUCUAGCUGUCCCACUGGCUCUUAUGUCCCUGACUAGUGAAGUUAAUGGAAAGGGACAGGAUUCUUCCAGUGUUAUGGCAUCUGAACAGAUGGCUCCCCGAGGACAGCUUGUUUUUUUUGUAGGUAUUGGAGCUUUGAUUUUUGUUCCAGUGUUCAAGGCCCUAACCGGUUUGCCUCCUUUUAUGGGUAUCCUGCUUGGACUUGGAGUUCUUUGGAUUCUAACUGAUGCUAUCCACUAUGGUGAAUCUGAAAGGCAGAAGUUAAAAGUACCACAAGCUUUAUCACGGAUUGACACUCAAGGAGUUCUUUUCUUCCUUGGAAUACUUUUGUCCGUUAGCAGCCUUGAGGCUGCGGGGAUUCUUCGGGAAUUGGCGAAUUACCUUGACGCUCACAUUCCUAGUAGUGAAGUGAUUGCCGGUGCAAUAGGAGUCGUAUCAGCAAUUAUAGAUAAUGUUCCACUGGUUGCAGCAACGAUGGGGAUGUAUGACCUCACCUCCUUCCCCCAGGAUUCUGAGUUUUGGCAGUUGAUUGCAUAUUGUGCUGGCACCGGUGGAUCCAUGUUAGUUAUUGGCUCAGCAGCUGGAGUAGCAUUCAUGGGAAUGGAAAAGGUGGACUUCUUUUGGUACUUACGGAAGGUGAGUGGUUUUGCUUUUGCUGGUUAUGCUGCUGGUAUUGCCGCCUAUCUAGCGAUACAUAACCUCCCCAUCUCCCUACCUACAACUGUAGCUCAGGUUCAUAAAUUAUAGAGAACUUUUGCUUGGUUUUUUCCCUGGCUUCAAACAAGGCAGUAAAAAAUUGUGCCAAUUCGCACGAGUGUAGUGAAGAUUGUGACAACCUUCUUGUUCGGAAUGUGGACAUGGUUUUUUGAGAUAUAGAAAGUCAAAGGAAGACCAGUGGAAAAGAUAGGUUGAGAUCAUUUUGACGUCAUGUCAAUCAGAUUUACAAUAUGAUGAAUUCUGUGAGAAAUGUAAUUAUGAGGGAUAGAACCCGAGCUCAAAGAUACACAUGGUACCGGAUACCACCAGACUACAAGGCUCGGUGGUAGUUUCCACUCCUUUAUAACAAUAAACAAUUGCAAAGUACACAUCUCUGAAUAUACUAUAGUGAUGUAUUUGCAAGAAGUUUAACUCGACUUACUUUUAAGAUGUAGUUUUGAAGCAGUAAAGAAAAUUAAAUAUAGUUAAGACAGCUUGCAUUUCAGGGAGCCCUCCUUGCAUUC